rnacentral:rRNA from 1 species
AUAUUACUAAGCGGAGGAAAAGAAACUAACAAGGAUUCCUUUAGUAACGGCGAGUGAACAAGGAACAGCCCAUCACCGAAUCCAUCUUGGCAUCAAGAAUGGAAUUGUGGUGUAAAGGACAGUCUACGCUAUAUUAAUGUCAGUUCAAGUUCUCUUGAAUGGGGCUUUCCCAGAGCGGGUGUAAGGCCUAUAGUGACUGAUCAUUAGUGUAGCUUUGGUUGUCCCGAGAGUCGGGUUACUUGAGAUCGUAGCCCUAAGACGGGUGGUAAACUCCAUCCAAGGCUAAAUACUGUCGCGAGACCGAUAGCGCACAAGUA